rnacentral:rRNA from 1 species
GACGAACGCUGGCGGCGUGCCUAAUACAUGCAAGUCGAGCGCAGGAAAUCGACGGAACCCUUCGGGGGGAAGUCGACGGAAUGAGCGGCGGACGGGUGAGUAACACGUAAAGAACCUGCCCUCAGGUCUGGGAUAACCACGAGAAAUCGGGGCUAAUACCGGAUGGGUCAUCGGACCGCAUGGUCCGAGGAUGAAAGGCGCUUCGGCGUCGCCUGGGGAUGGCUUUGCGGUGCAUUAGCUAGUUGGUGGGGUAAUGGCCCACCAAGGCGACGAUGCAUAGCCGACCUGAGAGGGUGAUAGGCCAAACUGGGACGGAGACACGGCCCAGACUCCUACGGGAGGCAGCAGUAGGGAAUCUUCCACAAUGGACGAAAGUCUGAUGGAGCAACGCCGCGUGAACGAUGAAGGCCUUCGGGUCGUAAAGUUCUGUUGUAAGGGAAGAACAAGUGCCGCAGGCAAUGGCGGCACCUUGACGGUACCUUGCGAGAAAGCCACGGCUAACUACGUGCCAGCCGCCGCAGUAA